rnacentral:lncRNA from 1 species
GGUCGAUGUAUAAAUAUCUAUUUUGUGCCACAUAGGCAUACAGUGGAGUCCUUCUGUAGCUAACGUGGAGUCUAUGUGACUAUAAUUAUUUUAACAUGUAACAGUUUGUGCACCUACAAUAUUUUCUAGAAGUUUCAAAAGGAAUUUCAUAGCAAUGGAAUUGCUAGGCGGUACCAAAAAUUGUGAUCUAUUUCUACAUGGACCUUGCUAUUUGUACAUGGUGACUUACAUUUUGGUUGACACGAC